rnacentral:tRNA from 1 species
GGGGCUAUGGCGCAGUUGGUAGCGCNNAGGUCAGGGGUUCGAUUCCCCUUAGCUCCACCA